CACCGCGGUUAUACGAGAGGCCCAAGUUGACAGACAUCGGCGUAAAGAGUGGUUAAGUUAAAAUUUAUACUAAAGCCGAACAUCCUCAAGGCUGUUAUACGCACCCGAAGAUAAGAAGUUCAACCACGAAGGUGGCUUUAUUAGUCUGAACCCACGAAAGCUACGGCA
rnacentral:rRNA from 1 species